rnacentral:lncRNA from 1 species
ACCCCUGGUCACCUAAGGUUUUUGCCUCCUACAUCUUUUAAUGGAAAUUAAAGUGCCUCUUCAUAGUACAGUCCCCCACCCCUCAAAUCUUUGUUUACAUGCCUAUACCAUUUUAAUCAAUUCCAUCAUUUUGUUCUUAACCCGUGCAACUCUGACAAUUCCACUAAUAUGCUCAUUUAUCAAUCUAAUUUUUUAUAGUAUUGCCAUGCUUCCUUCUUCACAUCCUUGUUUCUACCAUAUUUGUUUCCUAGGCCCUCUUUAUUGCCCAACAUCCUGAGCCAGUGUUUUACAACGCGGUGCAUAUUGCAGCAUAUGUGACCACAUACGCAUAUGCAGCCCCUUGACUACAUGUUGCCUAUAUGUGUUCUAAUAUGUGGUUACAUCACACAUGGACCGAAAAGGCAAUCCACUUAGUAUUGUAUGGCUGCACAUACGGCCUGCUUGGUAUUGUAGGACAGCAUAAGUGUGCCCGCUUAACAUUUUGGAGCCACAUGUACAGCCCAAUGUGGACUUGAGUAGCUAAAGUGGUCUUAAGCUAAUAGUUAGCUUUGUAUGAGUUUCAAGGAAGCCUGGUUUAGGUAUUAGUAAUAUUAAAAUAUUAUCUAUGUUUUUUUAUUGUUAUUGGGUAUUAGGUACUAAGCCUAAGCAUAAAUUAUUAGUUGUUAUUAAGGUUUGUCGACGAUGCUAGAGGUUGUACCGACUAGCAACCAGUUCAGUAUAGUAACGAUACAUACCAUACCGACCAAAGGUAUAUCAGAACCAGAGGAAGAGAGAUG